rnacentral:rRNA from 1 species
UACGGGGGGAGCAAGCGUUGUUCGGAUUUACUGGGCGUAAAGGGCGGGUAGGCGGCCACCGCAAGUCAGUUGUGAAAUCUCCGGGCUUAACCCGGAAAGGUCAACUGAUACUGCGGGGCUAGAGUGCAGAAGGGCAACUGGAAUUCUCGGUGUAGCGGUGAAAUGCGUAGAUAUCGAGAGGAACACCUGCGGCGAAGGCGGGUUGCUGGGCUGACACUGACGCUGAACUGCGAAAGCUAGGGGAGCGAACGGG